AGAAUCAACGCUGGCGGCGUGCCUAACACAUGCAAGUCGCACGAGAAAGGGGAGCAAUCCCUGAGUACAGUGGCGCACGGGUGAGUAACACGUGAAUAAUCUACCUCCGAGUGGGGAAUAACUGAGAGAAAUCUUAGCUAAUACCGCAUAACACUUACGAGUCAAAGCAGCAAUGCGCUUGGAGAGGAGUUCGCGGCCGAUUAGUUAGUUGGCGGGGUAAUGGCCCACCAAGACGAUGAUCGGUAUCCGGCCUGAGAGGGCGCACGGACACACUGGAACUGAAACACGGUCCAGACUCCUACGGGAGGCAGCAGUGGGGAAUUUUGCGCAAUGGGGGAAACCCUGACGCAGCAACGCCGCGUGGAGGAUGAAGCCCCUUGGGGUGUAAACUCCUUCGAUCGGGAAGAUAAUGACGGUACCGAUAUAAGAGCCCCGGCUAACUUCGCGCCAGCAGCCGC
rnacentral:rRNA from 1 species